rnacentral:rRNA from 1 species
AGAGGGCGUGAAACCGCUUAGAAGGAAACGAGAGGCGCUGCAUUUUCCAGCGAGAUUCACUUAUUGAUUGCAGUUCGGCUGCGACAGUGAGGCAUUUCUUGUUGGUACGCACUGAAAGCUGUGCUGGUUGUGAUGCGGCCAUUUAGGAGUAGGGCGCUUAUGUGCUGUUUCCUAUGUGGUUGUGUUACUUUCCGGUACAGUUUACAAGGCACUCUGUAUUGAUCAGUGACAGUGGAACAUUUAAUAUGCUUGCCACAGCGACUCAGUGUCGUCUGGUUUGUACUGUUUCUUGUGAAACUAUAACUGAGUAAGUGUCGUUUCGGUGUGAACGUCAGCUACCCUCCCGACCCGUCUUGAAACACGGACCAAGGAGUCUAACAUGUGCGCAAGUCACUGGGUUUAUUAAACCUAUAGGCGCAAUGAAAGUAUAGGCUGGCUCGGUCGGCUGACACACGAUCUGCUCAGUUUUACUGUGCAGCGCAGUGUGGUCCCGCCUUGGCUGCUUGUCACUGAGGCGGAGAUUGAGCGUACAUGUUGGGACCCGAAAGAUGGUGAACUAUGCCUGAACAGGAUGAAGCCAGAGGAAACUCUGGUGGAA